UACGAAGGGGGCUAGCGUUGUUCGGAAUCACUGGGCGUAAAGGGCGCGUAGGCGGCUUUGUAAGUCGGGGGUGAAAGCCUGUGGCUCAACCACAGAAUUGCCUUCGAUACUGCAUGGCUUGAGACCGGAAGAGGUUAGUGGAACUGCGAGUGUAGAGGUGAAAUUCGUAGAUAUUCGCAAGAACACCAGUGGCGAAGGCGGCUGACUGGUCCGGUUCUGACGCUGAGGGGCGAAAGCGGGGGGAGCAAACAGGAUUAGAUACCCCAGUAGCCC
rnacentral:rRNA from 1 species